ACCCGCUGAACUUAAGCAUAUCGCUAAGCGGAGGAAAAGAAACCAACCGGGAUUCCCUUAGUAACGGCGAGUGAACCGGGAGGAGCCCAACGCUGAAUCUCGUCGUCGGUGGACGUCGUCGAGAGCUGUGGCGCAAGGGUCGUACACGGUCGUUCGUUUCGCCCGGCUAGGUUCGGAGUCCCCUCGAUUGGGGCUGCCCAAAGCGGGUGCCAGGCCCAUUCGGAGCCGGCGGCGAUCGACGGUGUUCUUCGGCCCGAGAGUCGGGUUGCUUGGGAACGCAGCCCAAAGCGGGUGGUAAGCUCCAUCCAAGGCUAAAUACCGGGACGAGUCCGAUAGCCGACAAGUACCGCGAGGGAAAGUUGAAAAGAACUUUGGAGAGAGAGUUCAAGAGACCGUGAAACCGCCCAGGGGUAAACGUGUAGGACCGUUCACCGCGAUCGCGAGGGGACUCAGUCCGCUGCUGCUUUUCAGGUGCCGUCGUCGCCUUCGAUUGCGCCGGUCGCCGUCGCUCGUUUAGGCGGGCGUCGGUUGCGAACCGCCUCGUUGGCGUUCGAUUUCCGGGGCGCCGGCAUCGUACGCACUUCCCCUUCGAUCCGUCGUCGCGACCCGUUCCCGUCAGGCUGGACGGCGCGCGGUGUCCGCAGGUCGCAGAGCAGCGCCCCGUGCCCGGUCGACGCGACGUCUCUCUCGGGAGGCGGCUGCGGCGGCCGCGCGGGAUUCCAGCUCUGCUCUCGACCGGGCCCGUCGCCGCUCAUUUGUGAGGCACGGCUAACAGACGGGGACGGGAGAAACGCAUCUCGCCAAUUCGCUAACGACGCAGCGAGUCGCUGGCGCCUCGUGCGCGCGCGACGCGGCCUCCUUUCCUUCUUCCGCGGCGGCGUUCUCUUUUACGGAGGGCGUCGUUCGCGGUGGCGGGUUUGGAUCGCACGAAAAGCCGUCCGCUGCUGCAGGUCUGCGACGAGCAUCGGCGACCUACCCGACCCGUCUUGAAACACGGACCGAGGAGUCCCAGUCGGCUGCGAGUCGUUGGAGCCAAUCGAGCUACUAACUCCGACGGCACAGUGAAAGCGAGAACGUGACACGUCGUCGCCGGCAUCGUUCACGCGCUGUCGGCGGCGUCUCGAAGCAUCGUUCCCGGGUCGGGCCAGUGCGCGUGGCUAACGCAAGCUCGCCUUGUUAUUACCGGCUGCGCGCGCUCCGACUCAGGUCUAGCAGACGGCCGGGGACCCGAAAGAUGGCGAUCCACGCCCGGUCGGGACGAAGCCAGAGGAAACUCUGGUGGAAGUCCGAAGCGCCUCUGACGUGCAAAUCGAUCGUCGGAACCGGGUGUAGGGGCGAAAGACCAAUCGAGCCGUCUAGUAGCUGGUUCCCUCCGAAGUUUCCCUCAGGAUAGCUGGCGCUAGCAGACGAACGACACGCAAUUCCGUCCGGUAAAGCGAACGACUGGAGGCCCCGGGGACGUUGACGGCCUCGAUCUACUCUCGAACUCGGAACGGGCGAAACGGGCCGCUUCUCUCCCGAUCGGAGGCGGCCGUCUUGUAGCAGCGACGAAUGCACGGUGCCAAGUGGGCCACUUUUGGUAAGCAGAACUGGUGAUGUGGGAUGAACCGAACGUCCGGCUAAGGUGCCCUACGCUUCGCCCAUUAGAUCCCCGAAAGGGUGUCGGUCGAUAUAGACAGCAGGACGGUGGCCACGGAAGUCGGAAUCCGCUCAGGAGUGUGUAACAACUUACCUGCCGAAUCGACCGGCCCCGAAAAUGGAUGGCGCUGGAGCGAGCGACCGAUGCCGGACCGGCCAGGCGAGACGGCGCUGGCGAGGCGUCUCGUCGCUGCCGCUGCUUGUGCGGUGGCGGAGGCGGGUCGCUGCUGUGCGAAUCGAUGCCUGUCGAGUAGGAGGGCGCCGCGGCGUGCAUGGAAGCCGCGGGCGCGGGCCCGGGUGAAGCCGACCGCGGGUGCAGAUCUCGGUGGUAGUAGCAAAUAUUCGAACGAGACCUUCGAAGACCGAAGUGGAGAAGGGUUCCGUGCCAACGGCGGUCGAGCACGGGUCAGUCGGUCCUAAGAAGCGGGCGAAAGCUUGUACGAAAGGCGCCGGAUCCGUCGUUGUUGUUGUUGUUGUUGUUGUUGAUGCGGUGACGACUCGGCAGCCUGUGCGUUGUCGUCGUCGUCGCCGUCCAUCUUCUACUUCUUCUUGGCUAAAAAGCAAAUCGCGGCCGGCCUUGCAUCGAAAGGGAAUCGGGUUAAUAUUCCCGAACCCGAACUCGGAGAGUGCCCGUCCGGCGGUGGAAACGCACGGCGCGCGCAACUCGCUUGCGCGUUGUCGUCGAGAAAGCCGGCGGUCGGGCGAAGCAGCGGCAACGCAAGCGAGCCCGGAGACGUUGCCGGGAGCCCCGGGAAGAGUUCUCUCUUCUUCGUAAAGGACCGCGUCCGUGGAAUCGGCUCGUCCGGAGAUACGGAUAUGGUACCUGUAGAGCGCCGCGUCUCGGGCGGCGUCCGGUGCGCUC
rnacentral:rRNA from 1 species